CCUACGGGCGGCAGCAGUGGGGAAUAUUGCACAAUGGGCGCAAGCCUGAUGCAGCCGUGCCGCGUGUGUGAAGAAGGCCUUCGGGUUGUAAAGCACUUUCAGCGGGGAGGAAGGCGGUGAGGUUAAUAACCUCAUCGAUUGACGUUACCCGCAGAAGAAGCACCGGCUAACUCCGUGCCAGCAGCCGCGGUAAUACGGAGGGUGCUAGCGUUAAUCGGAAUUACUGGGCGUAAAGCGCACGCAGGCGGUCUGUCAAGUCGGAUGUGAAAUCCCCGGGCUCAACCUGGGAACUGCAUUCGAAACUGGCAGGCUAGAGUCUUGUAGAGGGGGGUAGAAUUCCAGGUGUAGCGGUGAAAUGCGUAGAGAUCUGGAGGAAUACCGGUGGCGAAGGCGGCCCCCUGGACAAAGACUGACGCUCAGGUGCGAAAGCGUGGGGAGCAAACAGGAUUAGAUACCCCAGUAGUC
rnacentral:rRNA from 1 species